AGACAGUGCUGGCAUAGAAGAAUCUCUUUUGGGACUUAGAGGAUUAAACAGAGAGUGAAAAACCUGGGCCAUCAAUCAUAGUGUCUCUCAGCAUAGUUUUACAACGGAUAUAUCCCUAAACAAGUGCAGGGGCUCGUCUGCUUAAUUGCAUGCCCCAGUGCUGAUAGCAUGGGAGUAAUUGAUUGGGGUAUAUUAGGUUGGCCUAACUUGUGUUCGCACUUGUCUCACAGUCAGUUCUUCGUCUCUCACCGUGGCCUGGCAUGGUCUAUUUUCUGCAGUCCAUCGAUAUUUCAUUCCAGCCCGUUUUUUCUUAGAAAGGAUUGUCAUCUCAGAAAAAGUUUUGACCUGUUUUUGAUUAUCUUUCUUUUCACCUGUUUCAACUGUUUCUCAGUGAGAUAAGAAGAUCAAAGGCUGUGGAAACUGUCGCCCACUGACAUGCAGGUGGGAUUUAGGAAGGGUCUCUUUUGUAUCUAUUGGUCGCACGUGAGAUCUUCAGGUGUGUUUCGCUGCAUGUUCAACCAUCCAUCUGUGAACAGCUUGUUCCUGGCAGCACAAAGUCAAUGGUUUUCCACAAUGAUGGCACUAAAUGUUUUACACAUCAUCGCUGUCCGUGGUGCUGAAAGAUUGAUUAUAUGGCCACCUGACAUGCCUGUUACUCAGAGCCAUUUCUUUCUGGUCGAUGGGUCCCAUCAUCAAGGCUGCUGCCGUAUUGGACCGUGCCAUAACAUAGUGAAAUGCUUUGAACGAGGUCUGUACUUUUAAAAAGACAUAAAAGGCAGUAAAGUAUGGGAAACAGGCUUGGAUAUAAUUACUUUGAACGUGGAGUUGCCACAUGGCUGCAACAAGUAAUUCUGGGCUACAGCAAAGUUGCAUUCAAAAUGAAGGUAAAGAUUUUGUAACCACCAUCUUUCGAUUUCAAAAUAUUUUGGUUUAACAGCACCUGUAUGCCACGGUGUUUCUGGUAUGACUCAUUAAAUGUGUGCAUCUCUGUUCAUUUGUCUUCCUCAUCAGUGUUGCAAGUCAGAUUAAACCUGUAAAACAGAGUACAAACAUAUGAGUCAAAUAUAUCAGCUUCUCUGACAUUUAUGAUUCGCACCUCAAGAAUAUCAUGUCACAUUACUUGUACAAGGAAGAUUUCCUUGAUUGCUCUACAACCACUUUUAACUUCCAUUAGCAAGUUAUUGCACUUGUUAACUCACUUGAAACAUCUGACAAGGACAAAGGAAGUUGGAAAGAGAUAUUUAACUGAGUUUUCCCAUAGUCAAGAUAUUUUUAAAGGCACUGCAGGUCAGUGAGGCUUUAGAAGAACAUCAGUUGAACAAUCAUCUCUAUCCAUUAAGUCUGUGUUGGCUUUCUUUCUUGUUCAAAGAAAAAAAAAGGGGGGCAUGAAUGGGUCUGAAAUUAUGUAGAUAUACUACCUUUCAAACGUUUAGUGUAAUUAUUUUGUUGUUGUUGUAUUAAGAAAUUCAUAUUUAUAUUCAGCAAGGAUGCA
ensembl:lncRNA